rnacentral:sRNA from 1 species
GAUUAUGUUUUAUCUCGAUUUAAACAUUCAAAAUAUUCUUACCAAUUGGGAGAUAGCUGAUGCUGUUCGCGAACUGAUCGCUAACGCCAUUGAUGAGCACAUUUAACCGAAACCCAAUUCCCUAAAAUUGAAUUCAACGAAAACAAUUCAAGCUCAACAUUAAUAAUUCAAGACUUUGGUCGCGGCAUUAAAAUCGAACACUUUAUCCAAAACGAAAGUAAGGAAAAGGUUCAAAGUGAAAAAACUAUUGGUAAGUUUGGCACUGGUUUAAAGGAUGCAAUUGCUGUUUU